GAGAGAGAUUUUCAUUCCCAUAAAAAUCAAUGAAACUCUCCACGUCUUCGUUGCUGCACCACCAGAACCAUUUUCGCCGCCGCCGCCGCCGCCACCUCUAACUUCAUCACUGCCAUUAUCAACUCUGUCACUACCUAAUCCACCACCUACAUCACCACACCCAACUCUUAAAGAAUCGUUUUAUCUUAAUUUCUACUUGAUUUAGGUAUACAACUCAAAUCUGCUGGAGAAUCAACGAGAAAAUAGCCUUCCGAACUUAGAUCUGGGUGGUGGAGGAUGUUAAAUCGCCGCUCUUUUAGUUGAUGAUGGUGGCGGUGGUGGCAGUGGAGGAGGAUAUCGAAUCAUUGUUCUAUUAUUUGAUGAUGGUGGUGGUCAUGGAGAUGGAGGAAAUUAUUUAAUCAAAUUUCCAAAUCAGAAAUUUGAAUUGAAGUUUUCAAUGUUUAAAAGAUUAAAUGUUAUGAAGUCUUCUUCAUUCUCGAUUAAAAUUAGUUUCAGUUUAUGAUUCUGCCUACCUUAUAUGUUCUGCUUUAAAUGAUUUCACCAUUGAUUAUCGUAAUCCUAGUAUACUGUGGUUGUGUUGUUUAUGCAAGUUACAAUUGUUCAUUCCCUCAUAGUUAGAAAUGAACGCAGUGCGUUUUAAUUGGUGUAUAGAGUGAAUUUUAUGAUUUCCAAUUUGGCCAAAGUUUAAUUUUAUAAAUCUGGGAUUGGUAAUUGUGUAGGUUAAACAUGUGAUACGAGAGCAGAAUGUUAUGGCGGCGACUGAGAUCAUUGACCUCUUCUGUGAACUCAUUGUGUAGCUAUUUUGUUUCUCUUUGUUGUGUUAUAGACUCAAUAGAAGGUUUUUCUUUUAAUCUGUUGACAUGAGUCAUAUUUCGUUCAGGACAUGCCCAGAAAACCUUAAAGAAGGGAUCUGUAGUUUAAUAUUUUCAGCUCCAAGGUGUUCGGACAUUCCAGAGCUAGCGCAAAUUCGGGAUAUCUUCGAAAAGAAAUAUGGAAAGAAUUUGUCUCAGCGGCAACAGAGUUGCGCCCUGACUGUGGUGUGAACUGCACUGUUAUCCCCUAUCAUCGAAUGGUUCGAAUUGGUGUUGAAGCUUCGUAGAAGAUAGUGGCGGUUGCUGCUAUGAAUUAUAAAUGGUGGUUGAUGGUUCUAUUGGUGGUAACUGCAAUGAAGGAGAUGAAGUUGUUGUUGUUUAUGAAGCUACACGUGAUGAUCAAUUUUUGUUGUUUAUAUGUUUUUAUGGGAUCAAUUGUUGUUGUUGACCCAAUUUUUUAUGGGAUCAACCACGGUUGUUGAUCCAUUUAUGGGAUCAACUCUUGUUGUUGACCCAAUUUUUUAUGGGGUCAACUACGGUUGUUGAUCAAUUUAUUGGAUCAACUCUUGUUGUUGACCCAAUUUUUUAUUGGAUCAACUACUGUUGUUGAUCCUUUUCAAAACCUAUUGUUGAUAAUAUUUCCUUAGAUAAGUAUAAUCAUGCUUA